UGGUGGAGUGAUUUGUCUGGUUAAUUCCGUUAACGAACGAGACCUUAACCUGCUAAAUAGGUGCGCGAGCCUUCGGGCCCGUAGUGCGUUCUUAGAGGGACAAACCACGGCUAGUGGUUGGAAGUUUGAGGCAAUAACA
rnacentral:rRNA from 1 species